rnacentral:misc_RNA from 1 species
UUUCCGUAGGUGAACCUGCGGAAGGAUCAUUACAGAGUUUCGAAGCCUAAGGAAAAGCAGCCGAAAGGUGAACUAUCCUUAGGAUUGAGAUCUCCACCCUUUGUUUACAUUACCUUUGUUGCUUUAGCAGGCCCGCUCUCGGGCCGCCGGCUUAGGCUGGCCAGUGCCUGCUAGAGGACCUAAAACUCUUGUUAAUAAUAUUGUCUGAGUACUAUAUAAUAGUUAAAACUUUCAACAACGGAUCUCUUGGUUCUG